CGCCUUUGAUAUUUACAUCCAAUAUUCUGACAUUUAAGUUUUUACUAUCAAUACUUUUUACAAGUGUUAAACUCAUUUUACUUAGAAAUUUAACAAUGUUAAUCGACGACUAGGCUUCCCGUGCCAGAAAAGUGAGCCGAUCGAGAGGCUUUCCGUGCCACAACGAAAGCGAAAAGAGGCAGCCGAGAAUGAACAGAGAGGCAGCAUUUUGACAGAGAGGCCACCGAUAUGCAUCUGUACCGUGAACUUGAGGUGUAACGAUACUGUUCUGAAAGUGUACAAGCAAAUAAAGGGCCAUAGUCCGGAAACUCUCGGUUGCUUCUUUUGGCUACUUAAAAAUGGUCACUGUACGUUAAAAAACCCCAUGAAAACGCUAAAUUGGAUUAAUGAUCAUGUAGACGUGACGAAUUCAGAUGGCAUAUGCCUAUAUAAGCUUUGUAGGUGUGUGUGCUCUAUUCAAGUCUAUGUUCAUCCAUAUUCAAGUCUAUGUUCAUCCAUAGACCGGGAAAUCUCUUAAUUGGGACUGCAAUAGUACGAUUGCGACAAUGCGACAACGCGGUAGUACGAUGGCGACAAUGCGAUAGUACGAUGGCGACAAUUCGAUAAUACGAUGACGACAGUGCGACAAUACGAUGGCGACAGUGCGAUAGUACGAUGGCGACAAUGCGACAGUGCGAUAGUACGAUGGCGACAAUGCGAUAAUACGAUGACGACAGUGCGAAAAGACGAUGGCGACAGUGCGAUAGUACGAUGGCGAUAAUACGAUGACGACAGUACGAUAACACUAUAGUACGAUGGCGACAAUGCGAUGAUACGAUGGCGAAAGUACGAUAUGACUAUCGUAUUAUCGCCAUCGUACUAUCGCACUGUCGCCAUCGUAUCAUCGCAUUGUCGCCAUCGGACUAUCGCCAUGAUUUUUUAACAUAACCACAUACCGAGCUCUUACAUUGUGUUCUACUCCCGAGUUCGUUGUUAGUAAAAACAAAUAAUAACAACAAUAUAAUCGUUUCAAAAAUGCAUUUCCUUGCAUGCAAAUGUUUUAUUCAGACAUAACUAGUAAAAUUGUAUUUGAUGUUGCAUGAUUAUCAUUACAAACGAUGAUUUUGUCAGCCUUCCCUUUAUGCGCUUACAUGAAUUCCACCUAUUUUUGCUAACCAGUGGGCGGAGUCUAAACUUUGCAGGUGGGGUGAAUUGACACUUCAAUUCCUAUUUUCAAUUGUAAAGGUCAUGUUCCCAAGUGGUAAAAAAAGCGCUAAAAUCAUAUGUCAAUGAUCAAUACCAUUAAAAUAUAAACGUU